rnacentral:rRNA from 1 species
UAGGGAAUCUUCCGCAAUGGACGAAAGUCUGACGGAGCAACGCCGCGUGAGUGAAGAAGGAUUUCGGUUCGUAAAACUCUGUUGUUAGGGAAGAAAAAAUGUAUAGUAACUAUAUACAAAAGAGACGGUACCUAACCAGAAAGCCACGGCUAACUACGUGCCAGCAGCCGCGGUAAUACGUAGGUGGCAAGCGUUGUCCGGAAUUAUUGGGCGUAAAGCGCGCGCAGGUGGUUUAGAAAGUCUGAUGUGAAAGCCCACGGCUCAACCGUGGAGGGUCAUUGGAAACUAAUAAACUUGAGUGCAGGAGAGAAAAGUGGAAUUCCUAGUGUAGCGGUGAAAUGCGUAGAAAUUAGGAGGAACACCGGUGGCGAAAGCGGCUUUUUGGCCUGCAACUGACACUGAGGCGCGAAAGCGUGGGGAGCAAACAGG